AAUUCAGUUUGAAGCUAAAUCUUCAUCUCCAAUUAAAUAUUUAUCCAUCAAGCUGAACGACUUCUGGUUCUGGUUCUGGACCGGCCCAGCAGACCCAGACAGUAACUGAAGUCUGUCUUCCUUCCACAGAGUUUUCUGGAGAACAGCCACCCGGCCCUGCAGUCCCUGGAGUCCCUUCAGUCUCGGGCCAUGGCCGAGUUCUCCAAGGUGGCGUCCUUCUUCGGGGAGGACAGCCAGUCCACCAGCACCGACUCCUUCUUCGGCAUCUUUGCAGAGUUCAUGUCCAAGUUUGAGAGAGCGCUGAGUGAGACCCAGAGUCCUGAGAACCCCCGCAGCCCCCGGCUGUCCUCCCCCCUGGCCUGGUAGGAGCCGCCGAGCCGACCGGACCGGAUCAGGACUGGAUCGGAUCAGGAUCGGAUUGGAUUAGGUGCUGAAACAGACAGAACGUUGCUAUCUCUGUAUGAAGGAGAAUAUUUAUUAGCAUUAUUACUAAUAUUAUUAUUAUAACUAAUAAUAAUGAUAACAUAAUAUUAUCAUUAUUACUAAUAUUAUUAUCAUUAUUAUCAGUAAUAAUAAUGAUAAUAAACUUGUUAUUAUCAAAUUGUUGCCGCGUUCGCCCGGAUCGUCGCUGGCCUUCGGCUCAGCAGCUGUUGUAGAUCCAUCUGUUGCUAUGGGAGACGGGUUCGCUGGUGUCCCAUCAGAACCCAGGAGACAAACCGGGUCUGAUGGACAGUCUGAAUCCAAAAGCUCCAGAACCACCAAGACCAACAUCUGGACCUGCAGCUCUGAAGACGGUCAACAGAACCGACCUGGUUAGACCAGAUGUUCUGAUUCUUCUUCAUGAGUUCCACUUUGGCCCAAACUGGUCCGAUCAAAGGAGCAAAAUGGUUGAACUGGUCCGGAACCACUGAUCCGACUGUGAUGUAACUCUUUGAUCUUCUAGUUUUUAUUGAUCAAUAGUCUGAUCAAUAAAAACUGAAUUUUCAUCUUGAUGGCGAAUAAUGUUCAGGAUUUCUGGCAGAGAUGUAAAAAUCGUUGAUGUUAUGAUUAAAUGAAUCAAUUUUCUCCUUCACAGCCACUAAACAUAAGUUUCUAGUUUAAAUAUCUAAAUCUAGUUGGAGUAAACAUUUUCACGUUAAAUAAUGUUAAUAACUGAUUUGUUCUGCAGCUCCAAUAAAUUCAUGUUUUCACUUCUGGAGCUCGUUUUUCAUCGGGUCAGAUUUCAGACCUUCAGAGCUGAGGUCCAGAUUUACUCCAGAUGAUUCUAGAUUUAAUCUGACAAUCAGACGGAGAGCAAAGUGAAUAUUUAUUAUGUAAUAAAUGCUUUUAUUUUUUAAGAAGUCGAUAUGAAGAAAUUUCUGAUCUGAUGAACGUUUUUCAUCACUUCAAUCUGCAAUCCGUUAAAAUCCGUUUUGAUCCGUUAGUUUGGUUUCAGGUUAUUAUAAACCGAGUCCAGAUGUUUGCCACUGCCUGCUGGUUUACCUGGUAACCAUGGCGACCUGUCCUGUCCAGUCGUGUUGUCGAUCUUUCUAUGCAUCCUGCUUGUUGGCUCUGCCCCAAAAAUCCGUUUAUUUUCUUAUGAAACUUUUUCUUGUUCGGCUUCAGUGAGGCGGCGCGGCAGCAUGACGUCACUUCCUGUUGGGAUGUGCAGCUGGUAGCAUCUCACUAGUUCCAGUAAGGUUCUGUUCUGAUGUUCUGUGGUUCUCAGAGCUUUUCUGCUUUAAAUAAACUUCAUGUUUUGGAUUUUGAGUCCUUACAUUUAUUCUCCAGUUCUGACACUUUGGGUCAGAACCGGGUCGGUCCCGUUCAGUUCUGGUUUUCAGAAAAAAGUUCCAGCAGAACUUUAGAUGUUCCUCUGAAAAGAACCAAAGAAGGAUUCAGUUAACAGUAAUCCGUUCACUGAAUAGGAACAAAUUAGUAAAUUAUGCAGAUUUUUCACUGAACAUUUGAUCUUAUUCUAUAAUCCAUUAGAAAUACAAUAAAAGAUUAAAAUAAAUUCAAAUUAGUCGUUCUGGUAGAACAGAAUAAAGAUUCUCAUAUAUUAAAUGUUCAUAUUGAACAGUUUUGGUUCAAUUAUUCAACUAAUCAAUGAUUAAGUUAGAUUAUGUCAAUAACUGAUUUCAGGCCCAGAUAACUCCUGAUUUAAUGAAUGUUUUUAUUUUUCCGCAUUUUUUUAUCGUAAUAAAACAUUUUCCUGAUUAUUCUGAUCAGAAACAUGCAGAUGCCAGCAGAUCACCAGACAGGAAACAUGUUUAAUCUUCAUAUACUUUAUUUUCUUUGGGAAGCUUCAAUAUUACAGGAUUUUUCAUAUUUCAGCUCAGAAAACAUGAUAAACGUCGGAGCUUCAAGAUGCUGCAGUUAUAAUAAAUGAGCCUGAAGGAUUCUGGGAAAUAAGGCAGCGAGGUUCAGGAGGGAGAGCCGAACGUCCAACGCCUUCCCCUCACGUUCCCACCCGGCAGAACCUCCCCCGGCGUCAUGGCUGAAGCUUCCUGUCAGCUCAGAGGGGGACGAAGGCAGCAUCAUCAUCAUCAGUUUAUCUGUGCAAAACCGGCCGCUCGGAACCGGCCCACUCUACAUUCACUCUGACCCAGACGGCGCUGAGGAAAGGCAGAAACUGACCAGAACCGGGUUCUAGUGAGGGAUGGCAGCUCAUGUCCCUGAAGGCAGAAACGCAGGAAACAGAACCGUAAGGCAUGGCUGGCGCUGGACUGCAGUGUGUGUGUGUGUGUGUGUGUGUGUGUGUGUGUGUGUGUGUGUGUGUGUGGGUGUGUGUGUGUGUGUGAGUCAUGCCCUCAUGCUGGGAGCCAGGCUGGGCUGGUUAAGGCCACAUGUUUGGUCCAGAGAGAAAACAGGACAAACACAAAGCAACCAGGCUGCAGAGCAAAGAAAUAAAAACUAGAUGAAAUCUUCACGGCUCAGGAUCUGAAGCAGAGGACGGACUCGGGUUUCGCUGAAUGUGGUGAACAGGAAGUGGACGGCUGAGCCGUUUGGCGUUUCCUGC